AGAGUUUGAUCCUGGCUCAGGAUGAACGCUAGCGGUGCGUUUAAUACAUGCAAGUCGAACGUCCUUCACACUGUUCUUGAAUUUCGAGAGUGGCGUGAAGGGCGUGGCAGACGGCUGAGUAACACGUUGGAACCUGCCUUGUGCUCGAGGAUAACCCGGAGAAAUCCGGAAUAAUACUCGAUAGUUCUCUUCGGAGUAAAGCUCCGGCGGCACAAGAGGGGCCUGCGGCCUAUCAGUUAGUUGGUGAGGUAAAAGCUCACCAAGACAAUGACGGGUAGCUGGUGUGAGAGCACGACCAGCCAGAAUGGGACUGAGACACGGCCCAUACUCCUACGGGAGGCAGCAGUAAAGAAUCUUCCGCAAUGGGCGAAAGCCUGACGGAGCGACACCGCGUGAGGGAUGAAGUCCUAACGGACGUAAACCUCUUUUGUGUGGGAGCAAAUUUUUGAGUCAACCACACGAAUAAGCACCGGCUAAUCUCGUGCCAGCAGCCGCGGUAAUACGAGAGGUGCAAGCGUUAUCCGGAAUCACUGGGCGUAAAGGGUCCGCAGCCGGGAAUACAAGUUUGGAGUGAAAUUUCAGAGCCCAACUCUGAAAGCGUUCCGAAAACUGUAUUUCUAGAGUGCGACAGAGGCAGGGGGAAUUCCGAUUGUAGGGGUAAAAUCCGUAGAUAAUCGGAGGAACACCAAAUGCGAAGGCACCUUGCUGGGUCGAUACUGACGGUCAGGGACGAAAGCGUGGGGAGCGAAGGGGAUUAGAUACCCCCGUAGUCCACGCCCUAAACGAUGUGUGCUCGGUGUUGGGAGUUUUCAAUUGCUCUCAGUGCCCUAAGCUAACGCGGUAAGCACACCGCCUGAGUAGUACGGCCGCAAGGCUAAAACUUAAAGGAAUAGACGGGGACCCACACAAGCGGUGGAGCGUGGGGUUUAAUUCGAUGAUAAGCGGAGCACCUCACCCAGACUUGACAUCCCGAGAAUCAACUGGAAACAGAUGAGUGCCGCAAGGAACUCGGUGACAGGUGAUGCACGGUCGUCGUCAGCUCGUGUCUUGAGAUGUACUGUUAAGUCAGCAAACG
rnacentral:rRNA from 1 species